rnacentral:antisense_RNA from 1 species
UUUCUGUUCCCGGGCGGCAUCAGACCCGUCGGAGAGUAAAUCCCAAGUAAGGUACCUGCCGUCGGCAGAUUGGAGCUUUCUUCUUGGACACCUAAUACCCACAGUCCUCCAG